GCCGCAGUAGCUCAGUUGGUAGAGCACUACAUUGGUAAUGUAGAGGUCCUGAGUUCGAGUCUCAGCUGUGGCU
rnacentral:tRNA from 1 species